UACGGGGGGAGCAAGCGUUGUUCGGAUUUACUGGGCGUAAAGGGCGCGUAGGCGGCCAGCACAAGUCAGUUGUGAAAUCUCCGGGCUUAACUCGGAAAGGUCAACUGAUACUGUGCGGCUAGAGUGCAGAAGGGGCAACUGGAAUUCUCGGUGUAGCGGUGAAAUGCGUAGAUAUCGAGAGGAACACCUGCGGCGAGGGCGGGUUGCUGGGCUGACACUGACGCUGAUGCGCGAAAGCCAGGGGAGCGAACGGG
rnacentral:rRNA from 1 species